rnacentral:rRNA from 1 species
AAGGCGUAYGGYGGAGACCUAGGCACUCAGAGACGAUGAAGGGCGCGAUACCUGCGAAAAGCUUUGGGAAGUAGGAAAAAUACAUUGAUCCAAAGAUUCCCGAAUAGGGCAACCUCUCGAACUAUCUAUAAAUUCAUAAAUAGAAUAGAGAAAACCUGGUGAACUGAAACAUCUCAGUAGCCAGAGGAAAAGAAAGCAAAAGCGAUUCCCGUAGUAGCGGCGAGCGAAACGGGGCCAGCCUAAACCAAUUUAAUUGGGGUUGUGGGAAGACGUUUUUUUCAUCGAUUGUUUCGUUGAAUCUACGAUUCAACAUAUGUUUCUUUCGAAUUUGAAAGAAUAAGAAUAUAAUAAAGACGAAGCAGCUGAAUCCUGCACCAUAGAUGGUGAAAGUCCAGUAGUCAAUUUUUUCAAUUCUUAUUAUAAUAUUUUAUAUGAAUUAUAUUAUUUUAUAUUAUUAGAAUGUCUAUCCCGAGUAGCAUGGGGCACGUGGAAUCCCGUGUGAAUCUGCGAGGACCACCUCGUAAGGCUAAAUACUCCUGAGAGACCGAUAGCGUAAUAGUACAGCGAUGGAAAGGUGAAUAAGAACCCCCGUUGGGGAGUGAAAUAGAACAUGAAAUCGUGAGCUGACAAGCAGUGGGAGGAUUAAUUUUAGAAUCUGACCUCGUGCCUGUUGAAGAAUGAGCCGGCGACUUAUAGGAAGUGGCGGGUUAAAGAGUAAGAUCUGGAGCCUAAGCGAAAGCGAGUCUGAAAAGGGCAUCUAAUAUGGUCACUUCUUAUGGACCCGAACCUGGAUGAUCUAACCAUGAGCAAGCUGAAGCUUAGGUAACACUUAGUGGAGGGCUGCACGGACCGAUGUUGAAAAAUCGGCCGAUGACUUGUGGUUAGCGGAGAAAUUCCAAUCGAAUUCAGAGCUAGCUGGUUCUCCCCGAAAUGCGUUGAGGCGCAGCGGCAGUGAUGGGCAAUCUAAGGGUAGAGCGACUGUUUCGGUGCGGGCUGCGAAAGCGGUACCAAGUCGUGGCAAACUCCGAAUAUUAGAUGUGCUUUCCAUGUGCCAGUGAGACUAUGGGGGAUAAGCUUCAUUGUCAAGAGGGAAACAGCCCAGAUCAUCAGCUAAGGCCCCAAAAUGACUCCUAAGUGGAAAAGGAUGUGAGAAUGCCGGAACAACCAGGAGAUUUGCUUAGAAGCAGCCAAUCUUUAAAGAGUGCGUAAUAGCUCACUGGUAAAGCGUUUUUGAGCCGAUAAUGGCCGGGACUAAGGAGUCUGCCGAAGCUAUGAGAUUUUUUAUUAUUUCUUAUUUUUUAAUUUAUAAUAAUCUUAUUAAAAUUAAAUAAAUAAUCUUAUUAAAAUUAAAUAAUAAGAAUAAAAAUCGGUAGGGGAGCGUUCUGCAUCGGGUGAAGCUUUAACGUAAGUUUGAGUGGACGUUGCGGGAGCGAGAAUGUCGGCUUGAGUAACGAAAACAUUGGUGAGAAUCCAAUGCCCCGAAAACCUAAGGGUUCCUUUACAAGGUUCGUCCAUGAAGGGUGAGUCAGGACCUAAGGCGAGGCCGACAGGCGUAGUCGAUGGCAAACAGGUUUAUAUUCCUGUACUUUUUUGAAGGGGAACCGAGGGACGAAGUCGGCUAAAUUGAGUCUGUGAAUGGAAUGCAGUGGAAGCGUCCAAGGUUUUUAUAAAACAGAUCGAAGAAAAACGAAUCUGUAGCUGAGGCGUGAUCCCACUCUCCUGAACUUGUUCGGGUUGAGUGUCAAUGAUGUCAUACUUCCAAGAAAAGCUCGUACACCAUUAUUUUAUAUAAUAAAACCUUCAAAAAACCUGUACCUGAAACCGACACAGGUAGGUUGGUAGAGAAUACUAAGGGGCGCAAGAGAACUCUCUCUAAGGAACUCGGCAAAUUGGCCCCGUAACUUCGGAAGAAGGGGCGCCCUUGAUUAAAUUAAGGGCCGCAGUAUAAAGAUGCUGGCAACUGUUUACCAAAAACACAGGUCUCCGCUAAGUCGUAAGACAAUAUAUGGGGGCUGACGCCUGCCCAGUGCCGGAAGGUGAAGGAAGUUGGUUAUUUGGGUUGCUUCGCAUCCUAGAGAAGCUGACGACCGAAGCCCCGGUGAACGGCAGCUGUAACUAUGACAGUUCUAAGGUAGCGAAAUUCAUUGUCGAGUAAGUUUCGACCUGCACGAAAGGCGUAAUGAUCAGCAUACUGUCUCAGAGAGAGACUUGGUGAAAUAGACUUAUCCGUGAAGAUGCGGAUUAACAACAUUUGGACAGAAAGACCCUAUGAAGCUUGACUGUAUCCUGGAAUUGGGUUCGGGCUUUUCUUGCGCAGUCUAGGUGGGAGGCAUUGAAGAUUUCUUUCCGGAGGAAUUGGAGCCAUCAGUGAGAGACCACUCUGGAAAGGCUAGAAUCCUAAGAGUGAUCCCUAAUCGGGACAUUUGACGUUUUCAGGAAGGCAGUUUUUUUGGGGCGAAAGUCCUCCUAAAAGGUAACGGAGGCGCGCAAAGGUUUCCUCAGUCUGGACGGAAAUCAGACGUUACAGAGUGUAAAGGCAAAAGGAAGCUUGACUGCAAGACCUACAAGUCGAGCAGGGGCGAAAGCCGGCCUUAGUGAUCCGACGGUAUCCGCGUGGAAGGGCCGUCGCUCAACGGAUAAAAGUUACUCUAGGGAUAACAGGCUGAUCUUCUCCAAGAGUUCACAUCGACGAGAAGGUUUGGCACCUCGAUGUCGGCUCAUCACAUCCUGGGGCUGUAGUAGGUCCCAAGGGUUGGGCUGUUCGCCCAUUAAAGUGGUACGUGAGCUGGGUUCAAAACGUCGUGAGACAGUUCGGUCCAUAUCCGGUG